rnacentral:rRNA from 1 species
GACGAACGCUGGCGGCGUGCUUAACACAUGCAAGUCGAACGGAAAGGCCCUGCUUUUGUGGGGUGCUCGAGUGGCUAACGGGUGAGUAACACGUGAGUAACCUGCCCUGACUUUGGGAUAACUUCAUGAAACUGGGGCUAAUACCGGAUAGGAGCUCCUGCUGCAUGGUGGGGGUUGGAAAGUUUCGGCGGUUGGGGAUGGACUCGCGGCUUAUCAGCUUGUUGGUGGGGUAGUGGCUUACCAAGGCUUUGACGGGUAGCCGGCCUGAGAGGGUGACCGGCGACAUUGGGACUGAGAUACGGCCCAGACUCCUACGGGAGGCAGCAGUGGGGAAUAUUGCACAAUGGGCGGAAGCCUGAUGCAGCAACGCCGCGUGCGGGAUGAAGGCCUUCGGGUUGUAAACCGCUUUCGCCUGUGACGAAGCGUGAGUGACGGUAAUGGGUAAAGAAGCACAGGCUAACUACGUG